GUCGACUCCAAACGUCGCCAAAUUAACAAUGGAUGUGGGAUUGGAUAAUGAAACAUGAGCCGGUGGUUUCAAGAAAGAAAGUUGCUCGCGUCCUAUUUUCCGUCAACCUCUUCGCCGCGGCUACCUGUCCCCUCUUUUAGGCUGUCGUUCAUAGAGCUAAGAACUCAAAAUAUUCAGCUGAUGAGGAUAUGGAGGAGACAGAUGUUAAAGAUCCAAAUUUAAAGCAAUCUCUGGAG